rnacentral:rRNA from 1 species
CCUACGGGAGGCAGCAGUGGGGAAUAUUGGGCAAUGGGCGCAAGCCUGACCCAGCAACGCCGCGUGAAGGAAGAAGGCUCUCGGGUUGUAAACUUCUUUUCUGCGGGACGAAGAAAGUGACGGUACCUCAGGACUAAGCCACGGCUAACUACGUGCCAGCAGCCGCGGUAAUACGUAGGUGGCAAGCGUUAUCCGGAUUCAGUGGGUGUAAAGGGCGUGUAGGCGGGAAAGCAAGGCAGAUGGGGAAACUCAGGGCUCAACCCUGGGCCUGCAUUUGAAACUGUUUUUCUUGAGUGCUGGAGAGGCAAUCGGAAUUCGGUGUGUAGCGGUGAAAUGCGUAGAUAUACGGAGGAACACCAGUGGCGAAGGCGGAUUGCUGGACAGUAACUGACGCUGAGGCGCGAAAGCGUGGGGAGCAAACAGGAUUAGAUACCCUUGUAGUC